rnacentral:rRNA from 1 species
AACGAACGCUUGCGGCAUGCCUAACACAUGCAAGUCGAACGAGCUCUUCGGGUCUAGUGGCGCACGGGUGCGUAACGCGUGGGAAUCUGCCCUUUGGUUCGGAAUAACAGUUGGAAACGACUGCUAAUACCGGAUGAUGACGAAAGUUCAAAGAUUUAUCGCCAGAGGAUGAGCCCGCGUAGGAUUAGCUAGUUGGUGUGGUAAAGGCGCACCAAGGCGACGAUCCUUAGCUGGUCUGAGAGGAUGAUCAGCCACACUGGGACUGAGACACGGCCCAGACUCCCACGGUAGGCAGCAGUGGGGAAUAUUGGACAAUGGGCGAAAGCCUGAUCCAGCAAUGCCGCGUGAGUGAUGAAGGCCUUAGGGUUGUAAAGCUCUUUUACCCGGGAUGAUAAUGACAGUACCGGGAGAAUAAGCGCCGGCUAACUCCGUGCCAGCCGCCGCGGUAA